rnacentral:rRNA from 1 species
AGCCACAACAGUCCCGCUGGCUCGCACGGGGUGCUCUUCAUCGAGUGUCCCGCGUGGCCGGCAGAGUUUACUUUGAAAAAAUUAGAGUGCUCAAAGCAGGCUACACUGACGGCCUGAAUGCCUAUGCAUGGAAUAAUGGAAUAGGACCUCGGUUCUAUUUUGUCGGUUUUCUGAACCCGAGGUAAUGACUAAUAGGAACAGGCGGGGGCAUUCGUAUUGCGACGCUAGAGGUGAAAUUCUUGGACCGUCGCAAGACGAACUACUGCGAAAGCAUUUGCCAAGGAUGUUUUCAUUAAUCAAGAACGAAAGUUAGAGGUUCGAAGGCGAUCAGAUACCGCCCUAGUUCUAACCAUAAACGAUGCUGACCAGCGAUCCGCCGGCGUUAUUCCCAUGACCCGGCGGGCAGCUUCCGGGAAACCAAAGUCUUUGGGUUCCGGGGGAAGUAUGGUUGCAAAGCUGAAACUUAAAGGAAUUGACGGAAGGGCACCACCAGGAGUGGAGCCUGCGGCUUAAUUUGACUCAACACGGGGAACCUCACCANGCCCAGACACCGGAAGGAUUGACAGAUUGAGAGNUCUUUCUCGAUUCNGUGGGUGGUGGUGCAUGGCCNUUCUUAUUGGUGGAGCGAUUUGUCUGGUUAAUUUCCG